GGAUGUGGGGGUGAUCUGGCUAUGCUACCCAGCACCCCACUAAACACAAGGAUGAUGUGGCUCACCUGGCCAGUGAGGUGGGUGUCCUCUUCCUCCCUCACUACUCCCUGAGUGCUCAGUGAGGAUGGCCUUCCUCCACAGAUGACUGCUCUUCAGCCAAGAGUAUGCAAGUGGCUACAUGCCUCUGCUGAGAGCUCCGAACAAGCUCCCAGAGUCCACAUACAAGAAUCAGUAGCGUUUCUAUCCACUAACAGUGAAUUACU
rnacentral:snRNA from 1 species